CCUACGGGUGGCAGCAGUGAGGAAUAUUGGUCAAUGGCCGUAAGGCUGAACCAGCCAAGUCGCGUGAAGGAAGAAGGAUCUAUGGUUUGUAAACUUCUUUUAUAGGGGAAUAAAGGUAUCCACGUGUGGAUAUUUGCAUGUACCCUAUGAAUAAGCAUCGGCUAACUCCGUUCCAGCAGCCGCGGUAAUACUGAGGAUGCGUGCGUUAUCCGGAUUUAUUGGGUGUAAAGGGUGCGUAGGUUGUUUUUUAAGUCAGCGGUGAAAGUUUGUGGCUCAACCAUAAAAUUGCCGUUGAAACUGGGAGACGUGAGUGUGGGUGAGGUAGGCGGAAUGCGUGGUGUAGCAGUGAAAUGCAUAGAUAUCACGCAGAACUCCGAUGGCGAAGGCAGGUUACUGGGCCAUAACUGACACUGAGGCACGAAGGCGAGGGGAUCAAACGGGAUUAGAUACCCUUGUAGUC
rnacentral:rRNA from 1 species